UGGGGGUGUAGCUCAGUCGGUCUAGAGCAGUCGCCUGUCGAGCGAAAGGUCGCGGGUUCAAAUCCCGUCUCCCCCGU
rnacentral:tRNA from 1 species